CCUACGGGUGGCUGCAGUAGGGAAUAUUGGACAAUGGGCGAAAGCCUGAUCCAGCCAUGCCGCGUAAUAGAUGAAGGCCCUCUGGGUUGUAAAUAUCUUUUAUCUGGGAAGAAACAAUCUUAUUCUUAAGAUCUUGACGGUACCAGAGGAAUAAGCACCGGCUAACUCCGUGCCAGCAGCCGCGGUAAUACGGAGGGUGCCGGCGUUACCCGGAGUCACGGGGUCGUAGGCGUGCGUAGGAGUCAGUGGUGAAAUCUCCGAGCUUAACUUGGAAACUGCCAUUGAUACUGCCAGUCUUGAGUGUCGUAGAGGUAAGCGGAAUGUUGCAUGUAGCGGUGAAAUGCUUAGAUAUGUUACAGAACACCAAUUGCGAAGGCAGCUUACUAUGCGAUGAUUGACGCUGAGGCACGAAAGCGUGGGGAGCAAACAGGAUUAGAUACCCUAGUAGUC
rnacentral:rRNA from 1 species